GUUAGCGACUGCUAAUACCGAAUGUGUCGCAAGAUGAAAGAUUUAUUGCCUAGAGAUGAGCUCGCGUCUGAUUAGCUAGUUGGUGGGGUAAAAGCUUACCAAGGCGACGAUCAGUAGCUGGUCUGAGAGGAUGAUCAGCCACACUGGGACUGAGACACGGCCCAGACUCCUACGGGAGGCAGCAGUGGGGAAUUUUCCGCAAUGGGCGAAAGCCUGACGGAGCAACGCCGCGUGAGGGAGGAAGGCUUUUGGGUUGUAAACCUCUUUUCUCAAGGAAGAUAGUGACGGUACUUGAGGAAUCAGCAUCGGCUAACUCCGUGCCAGCAGCCGCGGUAAUACGGAGGAUGCAAGCGUUAUCCGGAAUAAUUGGGCGUAAAGCGUUCGUAGGUGGUUUUGUAAGUCUGCUGUUAAAGCGUGUAGCUCAACUACAUAUAGGCAGUGGAAACUACAAAACUUGAGUGCGUUCGGGGCAGAGGGAAUUCCUAGUGUAGCGGUGAAAUGCGUAGAGAUUAGGAAGAACACCGGUGGCGAAAGCGCUCUGCUAGGCCGCAACUGACACUGAGGGACGAAAGCUAGGGGAGCGAAUGGGAUUAGCCCC
rnacentral:rRNA from 1 species